UAAAGGAAAGGAAAUCUUACACAUAGGCAUAUGUUUGAUGCUUGUUGUUUGGUGACACCUAUUGGUGUUUUGAGAAAGUACAGGUUAACCGGGAUGUGAUUGACAUAAGAAUUCAAAGCCCUGUAUGGACUGGCUCGUGAAAUAAUGAAGCUACCGACUGAAACAAUAACCUCGCUGUUUAAUCUACAACGUUAAGUUAGCAGUUGUAGUUGAGAGGCAGACAUCGUGUCAAUCGCAGGUUAACUCGACGGAAAAGAGAAUUCAUUUACAAAUCAAUAAAAUUACAAGGCUAUCGCUAACAGAUAACGUUAUACUAAUUUUACUUUAUUUGCAUAUCAGUGUAGCCGCUAGAGGUGGGCAGGUAAUUAGAUGACACGGUAACGUCAUACGCGAAUACAUGCAUAUAAGCAUUUUCUAAACAGGCAGACAGCGAGCCGUCAAUCUUGGGGUCCUCACAAUCUUACACCGGUUGAGAGUUGUGAGUGGAACGUUUGUGUGCGGCGUUGAUAAAUGGUUUGUGCCGGUCCCUGUGUAGGACUGCAGGUUGUUUUGCCUAUCCGGGAGUGCAUGUACUGUAUGUAAGCUGAAGAAACCACGGUUGGAGAUGACGUGGCCAGCGUUGACUGACCUUACCGCAUACAGCCAUUGAGAGCCAUCCGGUAAUGUAGAUUGUUUUAUUCAUGCUUUUAUAUUGGUGGCUUCUUGGUUUGGGUGUGGAUGCUUUCUGUGCAUGUAGCUUGAGCAGUGCCUUUUGUUUUGCUUAUAGGUUUAUUUUGAGUAGGUGGCCGAUGCAUGGAUUGACCGCUGUUCCUUCCUUCCGUUUUAUGUACAUGUUGUAAAUUAGCUGCCCACCUACCGCGAGUGAGUGUGCUUCCGCUCAUAGUAUCUUGCCUUGUGUUGAUUAGCUAGUACACGGAGCUGGUCGGCUAGCUUGAGCAUUUCUUUUUGUUUAAUUGUUUUUUGUUUUCAUGUUAGCCAUUCUCCCCCGCUCUAACUCAAUCAGCUAACCCAGUCUUGCUUUAACUAUUCUUUGCGCCCCUUCUAGAUUGCUGUGCUUGACUAAGAGCGUUUGGUUUUGCUUUAACUAUUUGUGUGUUCUUCUACUUUGCUCUGUGGAGUUUGCAGUGUGAUUACAAUUGCAGUGUACCUUAAUGGAGUGUGUAAUUCACAGGUGUAUAUAUUCCCUUCUCUAAGGUCGCAGCAAACACAAGUAAGGUACAAGCCAGCUGGGUAGUCUGUUUGCAGUAAGGGGUGGAAAUGUUAAAUGUGCAUGUUAUUGCUCAUUAAACCAUUUUAUGAAUUGGAGAAAAUAAAGGAAGCUGGCAUUUUGCUAUCUUCCCUACCAUAGUUUUUUACGAAAUUUGUUAAUAAAAAGGAUCUGUUUUUCUCUUA